rnacentral:rRNA from 1 species
ACGCUGGCGGCAGGCUUAACACAUGCAAGUCGAACGGUAGCAGGAGAAAGCUUGCUUUCUUGCUGACGAGUGGCGGACGGGUGAGUAAUGCUUGGGAAUCUGGCUUAUGGAGGGGGAUAACGACGGGAAACUGUCGCUAAUACCGCGUAUUAUCGGAAGAUGAAAGUGCGGGACUGAGAGGCCGCAUGCCAUAGGAUGAGCCCAAGUGGGAUUAGGUAGUUGGUGGGGUAAAUGCCUACCAAGCCUGCGAUCUCUAGCUGGUCUGAGAGGAUGACCAGCCACACUGGAACUGAGACACGGUCCAGACUCCUACGGGAGGCAGCAGUGGGGAAUAUUGCGCAAUGGGGGGAACCCUGACGCAGCCAUGCCGCGUGAAUGAAGAAGGCCUUAGGGUUGUAAAGUUCUUUCGGUAUUGAGGAAGGUUGAUGUGUUAAUAGCACAUCAAAUUGACGUUAAAUACAGAAGAAGCACCGGCUAACUCCGUGCCAGCAGCCGCGGUAAUACGGAGGGUGCGAGCGUUAAUCGGAAUAACUGGGCGUAAAGGGCACGCAGGCGGUUAUUUAAGUGAGGUGUGAAAGCCCUGGGCUUAACCUAGGAAUUGCAUUUCAGACUGGGUAACUAGAGUACUUUAGGGAGGGGUAGAAUUCCACGUGUAGCGGUGAAAUGCGUAGAGAUGUGGAGGAAUACCGAAGGCGAAGGCAGCCCCUUGGGAAUGUACUGACGCUCAUGUGCGAAAGCGUGGGGAGCAAACAGGAUUAGAUACCCUGGUAGUCCACGCUGUAAACGCUGUCGAUUUGGGGGUUGGGGUUUAACUCUGGCGCCCGUAGCUAACGUGAUAAAUCGACCGCCUGGGGAGUACGGCCGCAAGGUUAAAACUCAAAUGAAUUGACGGGGGCCCGCAC